rnacentral:rRNA from 1 species
UACGAAGGGGGCUAGCGUUGCUCGGAAUCACUGGGCGUAAAGCGCACGUAGGCGGACUCUUAAGUCGGGGGGUGAAAUCCUGGAGCUCAACUCCAGAACUGCCUUCGAUACUGGGAGUCUUGAGUUCGGGAGAGGUGAGUGGAACUGCGAGUGUAGAGGUGAAAUUCGUAGAUAUUCGCAAGAACACCAGUGGCGAAGGCGGCUCACUGGCCCGAUAACUGACGCUGAGGCACGGAAAGCGUGGGGA